rnacentral:tRNA from 1 species
CAGGGAGACAACAAAAUGUUAAAUAUUAAUUUUGUCACCUUAGGUCGAUCGGUAUCUCACAUUCUUAAUUUAUUGAGAAUUUUAUUUCCUAAGUUUUUUCUAGGUCACACCCAUUAUUUUCCUGGGCCAUUAGCUCAGGUGGUUAGAGCGCACCCCUGAUAAGGGUGAGGUCCCUGGUUCAAGUCCAGGAUGGCCCAUAUCUCUAUGUUGGGGGUAUAGCUCAGUUGGUAGAGCGCCUGCUUUGCAAGCAGGAUGUCAGCGGUUCGAGUCCGCUUACCUCCACUGAUUACCACCUCUUCCAUAAUUUUAUAGAAGGGAGAAUGUUUGAGGUGUGAUCAAAUUCUGAACGAAUCUAGCUUCCUAAUUUAUUUUUAUUAAGAUGCUGGACUCAUUGAAUUAAUUUCAUUGUUUUCAGAGAACCUUGACAACUGCAUAGAUUAUUUUUAAAGACAAUAAGCAUCUUUAAUGAUGCAGAUUUAUUAUUUGUGCAAAUGCAUUAAUAACAAUUCUAUUUAAGCUGAUGCUUCAU